rnacentral:rRNA from 1 species
GACGAACGCUGGCGGCGUGCCUAACACAUGCAAGUCGAGCGAGUGGAGUUCUUCGGAACAAAGCUAGCGGCGGACGGGUGAGUAACACGUGGGCAACCUGCCUCAUAGAGGGGGAAUAGCCUCCCGAAAGGGAGAUUAAUACCGCAUAAGAUUGUAGCUUCGCAUGAAGUAGCAAUUAAAGGAGCAAUCCGCUAUGAGAUGGGCCCGCGGCGCAUUAGCUAGUUGGUGAGGUAACGGCUCACCAAGGCGACGAUGCGUAGCCGACCUGAGAGGGUGAUCGGCCACAUUGGGACUGAGACACGGCCCAGACUCCUACGGGAGGCAGCAGUGGGGAAUAUUGCACAAUGGGGGAAACCCUGAUGCAGCAACGCCGCGUGAGUGAUGACGGCCUUCGGUUGUAAAGCUCUGUCUUCAGGACGAUAAUGACGGUACCUGAGAAGGAAGCCACGGCUAACUACGUGCCAGCAGCCGCGGUAAACGUGU